GACGAACGCUGGCGGCGUGCUUAACACAUGCAAGUCGAACGGAAAGGCCCUGCUUUUGUGGGGUGCUCGAGUGGCGAACGGGUGAGUAACACGUGAGUAACCUGCCCUUGACUUUGGGAUAACUUCAGGAAACUGGGGCUAAUACCGGAUAGGAGCUCCUGCUGCAUGGUGGGGGUUGGAAAGUUUCGGCGGUUGGGGAUGGACUCGCGGCUUAUCAGCUUGUUGGUGGGGUAGUGGCUUACCAAGGCUUUGACGGGUAGCCGGCCUGAGAGGGUGACCGGCCACAUUGAGACUGAGAUACGGCCCAGACUCCUACGGGAGGCAGCAGUGGAGAAUAUUGCACAAUGGGCGGAAGCCUGGUGCAGCAACGCCGCGUGCGGGAUGACGGCCUUCGGGUUGUAAUCCGCUUUCGCCUGUGCCGAAGCGUGAGUGACGGUAAUGGGUAAAGAAGCACCGGCUAACUACGUG
rnacentral:rRNA from 1 species